rfam:Pseudomonas putida strain TASWS0946 Contig180, whole genome shotgun sequence.
UACGCGAUGCCGAAGUCGGGUCGCGCAGUCACCAACUCGCUGAUAUUUCAGGAGAUGUACCAUGACU